rnacentral:rRNA from 1 species
GAGGAAGUAAAAGUCGUAACAAGGUUUCNGUAGGUGAACNUGCGGAAGGAUCAUUAUAGUACAACGGAGGCACCUGGGCUGUCGCUGACCUUAAAGGACGUGCACGCCCGGAGUGCUCUCUCUCACAUCCAUCUCACCCCUUUGUGCAUCACCGCGUGGGGCCCUCUCCUUUGGCUUGUUCCGGGGAGGGGGUUUCACGUUUUUACACGAACAACCCAUUAAUGCAUGUGUAGAAUGUCUUACUUAUUUUAAAUACAACUUUCAACAACGGAUCUCUUGGCUCUCGCAUCGAUGAAGAACGCAGCGAAAUGCGAUACGUAAUGUGAAUUGCAGAAUUCAGUGAAUCAUCGAAUCUUUGAACGCACCUUGCGCCCCUUGGUAUUCCGAGGGGUGCACCCGUUUGAGUGUCGUGAACACCCUCAACCUUCUUGGUUUAUCGACCGGGAAGGAUUGGACUUUGGAGGUUUUUGUUGCUGGCCUCGUUUGAAGCCAGCUCCUCCUAAAUGAAUUAGUGGGGUCCGCCGUGCCGAUCCUCGACGUGAUAAGUACGCUUCUACGUCUUGGGGUUUCGCACCGUUCUCGCUUCCAACUUCNAGUUGUGACUCGACCUUAUAAACCUUGACCUCAAAUCGGGUGAGACUACCCGCUGAACUUAAGCAUAU